AAUCAUUUGAUCAGGACGCAGUCGAUUUAAUUCAUGUCCAAGUUUGAUUGAAUUGCCUUCACUUUAAUAUCGAUUAAAUCUGACGACAUAAUUCUCCUUUGAUUAUCAUCAGAGAUACAUCAUUUAUUGUAUUAUAUAUUUAAAAAUGGAGAUGACGAAACUACGGAAUGCUGUUAGCGUCAGUCGGUUUCAGUCGAGUCCACUGAAAAUCAGUGUGAGGCAAGCAGAAGCAGAGCAGAGCAGAGCAGAGUAGCAGACGUCUUGGGCGGCUCGGGCGGGAUAGCGAGCACGUGUGAAUUCGCAUGACGAUCUUGCGGUCGGGUCGAGGCGACCACGUUCGCUCAAAUGAACAAAAAUGAAUCGAUGAGCAGAUACGGGCCUCUCGUCGGCGCAAUCGACGAGGGGACGAGCAGCGCGAGAUUCCUGGUUUUUGCAGCGGAUACUGCAGAAGUUUUGACAUAUCAUCAAGUCUCGAUAUCGCAAACAUGCCCAAAAGAGGGAUGGGUUGAGCAGGAUGCUUUGGAGAUAUUAAAAGCAGUCAGAGAGUGCCUCAAACAAACUGUGUUCAACUUGAGGCAGUUAACAAUAGAUCCAGCUGAUAUAGUUGCGAUUGGUGUGACAAAUCAAAGAGAGACUACAGUUGUAUGGGACUCCGUAACAGGAGAACCACUUUACAAUGCCAUAGUAUGGAUGGAUAUGAGAACUACAUCAAUUGUGGAUGAUAUACUGAAGGGUAUACGUAACAAGAACAAGAAUUACUUGAAGCCACUUUGCGGCCUGCCAAUUAGUCCAUACUUUAGUGCAUUAAAAUUGAAAUGGCUGUUAGAGAAUGUACCUCGAGUUCAAGAAGCAUUAGCUGCCAAACGUCUUAUGUUUGGUACCAUCGAUUCCUGGCUGAUCUGGAAUCUGACUGGUGGUGCUAAUGGUGGUGUUCACAGUACGGAUGUCACAAAUGCUUCGAGGACAAUGUUAAUGAAUAUUGUGACAUUAAAGUGGGAUCCCACUCUAUUAUCAUUUUUUAAGAUACCUCUUGAAAUUUUACCUCAAAUACGAAGUUCCUCUGAGAUUUAUGGUUAUAUACAAGAUGAACUGCUGCAGGGUGUUCCUAUAUCAGGGUGCUUAGGUGAUCAACAAUCAGCUUUAGUAGGUCAAAUGUGUUUACAACAAGGACAGGCAAAAAGUACUUAUGGCACUGGAUGCUUUCUUCUUUAUAAUACUGGCACAGCUAUUGUGGAUUCAGCUCAUGGUUUAUUAACGACAGUUGCUUAUCAAUUGGGAGCACAUGCCUCUCCAGUGUAUGCUCUUGAAGGAUCCAUAGCUAUCGCAGGUGCCGUUAUACAGUGGUUGAAAGAUAAUCUUGGAAUACUAACCGAUAUAAAAGACUGUGAAACUAUUGUUGAACAAAUGCCCGCAGGCAAUCGUAUUGUUUUUGUGCCAGCGUUCGCGGGAUUGUAUGCUCCGUACUGGAGGAAAGAUGCGCGAAGUGUCAUAUGUGGUAUUAGCGAAGAUACUACUAGCGCACAUAUUGUAAAAGCCGCUCUGCAGGCGGUAUGCUUUCAAACGAGAGAUAUCUUGGAAGCUAUGAAGGAGGACACUGGUUUAGCGCUGUCCAAACUGUUAGUUGAUGGCGCGAUGACCAAUAAUGAUUUGUUGAUGCAAAUGCAAGCUGAUAUCUGUGGAAUUCCAGUGGGCCAUUGAUGUGUGAAACUACUGCACUCGGAGUUGCAAUUGCUGCAGGUAGUGCGGAAGGAAUACGAAAAUGGGACGUGAAGAUUGAUACUGCCGUUCCCAGUGAUAUCUUUCUACCAUCGAUAACUGAGAAUGAACGUGAUAUUUUAU
rnacentral:misc_RNA from 1 species